rnacentral:lncRNA from 1 species
GGCCUGGGGAUAGGAUGCGGGACAAAGAAAGUGACAAUAAAAAAGACAGAAAAUAAGAGCAGGGGUUUGUUACAGGAACACAGAGAUAGUUACCACUGCAGUGUCACAAUGUUUAAUGAGUCCAGCUGGCAGUAGGAGUGGGAACGGUAGAUUCUCUCUAUUUCUUGCUCAGUCGCUGGCAGAAGGAAAAUACAAGGGAAAAGCACGUGCUCCCAUUUUUGCAGAGUUCUUGUAUAUAUACGCUGUCCUGUUCUUGUUGGGUUACCUGUAGUGAUGGCAUGUCCAACACAGGUGCAACAGUCCGGAUGCAGGCUUAUCAACAUCAGAGAAGCCAGGGCCUCCACAUAAGGGUGAGCCACCACAUCUUGGUAUUAGCCCGGAAAGUGACAGGCAUAGAGACAUCCCCCUUAUCUUCCACGUUCCUGACACCUCCUAUAGGCAGAGAUGCCUCCAGCUGUUCUCACAUUUCAUAGCAGUCAUUGAGGCAAAAGGUGUUUUUUGUACAGCCUCUCACAUUCGGUUUUCACAACACUCAAAUCUCUCAUCUCCUUCAAUAUUGCAAACUUUCCCUUCAUCCCCAAGAGAAGUAUUAAUCACAGCACAACAGCUGACAGUAACAGCUAACACUAGCUAAACCACUCUCAUGUAUUCACUCCCUUAAUCGCUCAGGAGCAGAAGCAGACCUCACACUCCCAAGCCUGCUGGAGGGUUCAAGUGGUUUCAGGUAAAUUGAGUUAGAGAGAAAUAAGGCAUCAGUGACCAAGAACUUGCAACAGUUUAUCCCAGCAGGAACCACUGCUUUUAUUGUCAAUAUUUCUGUAGUAGCAAAAAUAAUAGCAGCCAUAUUAAGCUUUUGGGUAAAAAAAUGGUGCAGCUAUUCCCACUCUUCAAUAAAAGCAGAAAUGACCAGAGUCUGGUCUCUGCCAACAUAUCUUUUUUUUUUUAGACUGUUGUAUUCUCCUUCUCCUCCUCCCAUUGAUUGAACAUAUCGAUAAACAAUAUAAAUAAUAUUUAUACCAGAACUUCUGAAUAUUUACUCUUGCUUCUCUCUAGUCAGUAUGCAAAGAACUGAAUGAAUGCAAAACGUGCUAUUCUAUAUGUAUAUUCAUGUUUCAAGAUACAAAAUAAGCUUUGCUCUUGGAGCAAAACAUAGUGAGUUAACUGGUGACACAGUUCAUGGGAGGAAUUAAUUACCAGGUUAUGGGACCCAGCAAAGCUCUAUCAACAGCAUGGAGAAAAAAGUCAUAG